rnacentral:rRNA from 1 species
AUGGUGAGCAGAGGGCCAAACCUCAACGGAGGAGUAAUAUAUACCCAGUUUGUUUGUUUGAAGGAUGCAACAACAUGCAAAAAUAAUUUUGCCGGGCAGGUGGUCAAACCCCUCUUCUACUGUUGUGGUAUUGUAAGUUUGCACGGUGCAGCAGCCUGGAGAGGCGGCCAACAACGCACGUGUGAAGCAACAAUAAACACGGCUGAUGUGCUCUGCUUCCCCCUCUCUUUUUUAAUUAAUGGAUCUCUUACUGAGCGGAGCAUUUCUUUAGGUGUUCAAACACCAAAUUGCAUCUGGCGGACUAUCUACGAUGUUGUGGCAUUGGACUAUGAGAAAGUUACAGUCUUUAUUGAUGCAACAGUUGUUGCAAGGCCAAAUAUCCAUUUGGCAAGUAUUAGAGAUAUGAGGACUAUCGUCGUGGAAAGACCAACCUUGGAAGAGUGGCGCCGUUGUGUUGCUCGUGGUGUAUUUCAUUCUUGGCACCGAAGUGGCAUACAUGCUUAG